UACAGAGGGUGCGAGCGUUGUUCGGAAUUAUUGGGCGUAAAGGGCGCGUAGGCGGUGCGGUAAGUCACCUGUGAAAUCUCCUGGCUUAACUGGGAGCCUGCAGGCGAAACUACCGUGCUGGAGUGUGGGAGAGGUGCGUGGAAUUCCCGGUGUAGCGGUGAAAUGCGUAGAGUAUCGGGAGGAACACCUGUGGCGAAAGCGGCGCACUGGACCAUAACUGACGCUGAGGCGCGAAAGCUAGGGGAGCAAACAGG
rnacentral:rRNA from 1 species